rnacentral:rRNA from 1 species
UACGUAGGGUGCAAGCGUUGUCCGGAAUUAUUGGGCGUAAAGAGCUCGUAGGCGGUUGUCGCGUCUGACUGUGAAACUCGGGCUAACCCGGGCUGCAUGGUGACGGGCAGACUAGAGUGCGGGUAGGGGAGACUGGAAUUCCUGGUGGUAGCGGUGAAAUGCGCAGAUAUCAGGAGGAACACCCGGUGGCGAAGGCGGAUCUCUGGACCGAGACUGACGCUGAGGCGCGAAAGACGUGGGGAGCAAACGGG